UACGGGGGGAGCAAGCGUUGUUCGGAAUUACUGGGCGUAAAGGGCUCGUAGGCGGCCAACUAAGUCAGACGUGAAAUCCCUCGGCUUAACCGGGGAACUGCGUCUGAUACUGGAUGGCUUGAGGUUGGGAGAGGGAUGCGGAAUUCCAGGUGUAGCGGUGAAAUGCGUAGAUAUCUGGAGGAACACCGGUGGCGAAGGCGGCAUCCUGGACCAAUUCUGACGCUGAGUGAGCGAAAGCCAGGGGAGCAAACGGG
rnacentral:rRNA from 1 species